rnacentral:rRNA from 1 species
GCAUAUCAAUAAGCGGAGGAAAAGAAACCAACAGGGAUUGCCUUAGUAGCGGCGAGUGAAGCGGCAAGAGCUCAAAUUUGAAAUCUGGUACCUUCGGUGCCCGAGUUGUAAUUUGAAGAAAGCAAUCUUGGAUUUGGCCUUUGUCUAUGUUCCUUGGAACAGGACGUCAUAGAGGGUGAGAAUCCCGUCUGAUGAGGUGUCCAUUUCUAUGUAAGAUGUUUUCGAAGAGUCGAGUUGUUUGGGAAUGCAGCUCAAAGUGGGUGGUAAAUUCCAUCUAAAGCUAAAUAUUGGCGAGAGACCGAUAGCGAACAAGUACUGUGAAGGAAAGAUGAAAAGAACUUUGAAAAGAGAGUGAAAAAGUACGUGAAAUUGUUGAAAGGGAAGGGUAUUUGAUCAGACUUGGUAUUUAGUUAUCAUUACUCCUUGUGAGUGGUGCUCUAGCUUUUUACUGGGCCAGCAUCAGUUUUGGUGGCAAGAUAAUGACUGUUGAAUGUAGCUCAUUGGAGUAUUAUAGCUUCGGUUGAUAUUGCCUACUGAGACUGAGGUCUGCGGCUUUUGCCUAGGAUGCUGGCGUAAUGAUCAAAUACCGCCCGUCUUGAAACAUGGACCAAGGAGUCUAACGUCUAUGCGAGUGUUUGGGUGUAAAA